GUUAUUAAAUAUACGUAUCGCGAAUAUUUGGCUUCAGUAAUUGAAGACUCAUCAUACAGAUAUACGUUAUACUGUCAACACCUUAAAAUAAUAAAAAAAACAAGAUACGGACGUUAUAAAGUUCAAUAAAAAACGACAUGAUUUAGGGAACUUGAUGGAAACAAUAGCGACUUAAUAUACAACGUA